rnacentral:rRNA from 1 species
AAUCAACGCUGGCGGCGUGCCUAACACAUGCAAGUCGAACGCGAAAGUCCCGCAAGGGAUCAGUAGAGUGGCAAACGGGUGAGUAACACGUGGGUGACCUGCCUUCGAGUGGGGGAGUAACGUCCCGAAAGGGACGGCUAAUACCGCAUAACGUCCCGCCUUUUAACAGGUGGACAUCAAAGCUGGGGAUCGCAAGACCUAGCGCUUGAAGAGGGGCCCGCGCCUGAUUAGCAGUUGGUGGGGUAAUGGCUCACCAAGGCAACGAUCAGUAUCCGGCCUGAGAGGGCGGACGGACACACUGGGACUGAGACACGGGCCCAGACUCCUACGGGAGGCAGCAGUGGGGAAUUGUUCGCAAUGGGCGCAAGCCUGACGACGCAACGCCGCGUGGAGGAUGAAGA